rnacentral:lncRNA from 1 species
UUAAGGACCUUGAUACUCAGAUUGAUCAUCAAGAUCUCAAUUAUAAGCUCAAGUCUUGAUGACAACUUGGUGAUCUGCAGGAAGCACCACCAUGUAAGGAAGGCCAAGACCACUCUGGAAUCAGUCAAGGCUCAAAGGAACUCCAAUCUUCCCAACUGUGAGAGGGCCUUGCUCCAGUGACUGUGAAAUGGAGUGAGGCAUACAAGGAUAUGUGUGGUUUUACUCUUGGGAAGGAGGUUGAACAGUGCAGUGUUUCUUCUCUAGGAUUGCAGUGACCAGACAUGCUACUGUAACUCUCAUGGUCAUGUGCUGGAAUUAGCAGAUAUUCAACAAUUUGGCCAUCUCGCUGACCUAUUGAUAUCAGAAGACCGCAACAGCUCUGCAAAGCAAGUUGCAAAAAAGAAUCCAUGGAACUGGCAUUGACUGGAAACCAAUUGGAAGACUUUGGUUUGUGAUGUAGAGGAGUGGGCAGAGGGUGAGGAAAUUCUUAUUAAUAUUACAUGUAGUCAUGAAAAAUUGUAAGUGUUACUAUUAUUGUCAUUUUUUCAGUAGCAGAAGCAAAGACAACAAAAAACAGAAGUGAUAUGGAUGUCUUCGUCAUAUGGCAUGACUCUGCUGAUCCCGCAACAAAGAGGAGGGUGUUCAACAUCAUCCUGCUAGUCAGGAUUCUUCGGGAGCAGUGGAUUCUUGUGGCAGAGAUGGCCAACCACUAUAAAUACCUUUCAACUCAUCCUGGUUCUUUCAAAGAACUUUCCUGCUUGUUUGCUUCUGAAAAGUACUGGUAUGUAUUUGUAUUAUUUGGCUCAAACUCAAGCAUAAGGUUACCCAGUCCAAAGGAUAUUAAUAUAUUUUUAUGUUGUUGUGUUCUUCUUUUAUGAUUCGACAUGUGGCCUAAACAAAGAGGGGUUAAAAGGUCUAUAGAUCAUCAUUCUCAAAAAGAAACA